rnacentral:rRNA from 1 species
AUUGAACGCUGGCGGCAUGCUUUACACAUGCAAGUCGAACGGUAACAGCACUUCGGUGGCUGACGAGUGGCGAACGGGUGAGUAAUACAUCGGAACGUGCCUAGUAGUGGGGGAUAACUACUCGAAAGAGUAGCUAAUACCGCAUGAGAUCUAAGGAUGAAAGCAGGGGACCUUCGGGCCUUGCGCUACUAGAGCGGCUGAUGGCAGAUUAGGUAGUUGGUGGGAUAAAAGCUUACCAAGCCGACGAUCUGUAGCUGGUCUGAGAGGACGACCAGCCACACUGGGACUGAGACACGGCCCAGACGCCUACGGGAGGCAGCAGUGGGGAAUUUUGGACAAUGGGCGCAAGCCUGAUCCAGCAAUGCCGCGUGCAGGAUGAAGGCCUUCGGGUUGUAAACUGCUUUUGUACGGAACGAAAAGCCCUCUUCUAAUACAGGAGGGUCAUGACGGUACCGUAAGAAUAAGCACCGGCUAACUACGUG